rnacentral:rRNA from 1 species
CCUACGGGUGGCAGCAGUGGAGAAUAAUGCACAAUGGGGGAAAGCCUGAUGGAGCGACGCCGCGUGAGGGAGGAAGGAUUUCGGGAUGUAAAGUGCUAUCAUCAGGGAAGAAAAUGAUGGUAACUGAUUAAUAAGCCUCGGCUAACUACGUGCCAGCAGCCGCGGUAAUACGUAGGGGGCGAGCAUUAUCCGGAGUUACUGGGUGUAAAGAGUGCCUUAGGUGGGAUAUUAAGUUGCUAUGGAAAUCUGGUGCCUCAACCAUUCAGAGUAUUAGCGAAACUGUUAAUCGCGAGACCGUGAGAGGGAAGUGGAAUUCCUAGUGUAGCGGUGAAAUGCGUAGAUAUUAGGAGGAACACCAGUGGCGAAGGCAGGUUGCUGGGACGGGUCUGACACUGAGGCACGAAAGCGUGGGGAGCAAACAGGAUUAGAUACCCCUGUAGUC